rnacentral:rRNA from 1 species
AGUGAACGCUGGCGGUAGGCCUAACACAUGCAAGUCGAACGGCAGCACAGGAGAGCUUGCUCUCUGGGUAGCGAGUGGCGGACGGGUGAGGAAUACAUCGGAAUCUACUUUUUCGUGGGGGAUAACGUAGGGAAACUUGCGCUAAUACCGCAUACGACCUACGGGUGAAAGCAGGGGAUCUUCGGACCUUGCGCGAUUGAAUGAGCCGAUGUCGGAGUAGCUAGUUGGCGGGGUAAAGGGCCACCAAGGCGAAGAUCCGUAGCUGGUCUGAGAGGAUGAUCAGCCACACUGGAACUGAGACACGAUGCAGACUACUACGGGAGGCAGCAGUGGGGAACAUUGGACAAUGGGCGCAAGCCUGAUCCAGCCAUACCGCGUGGGUGAAGAAGGCCUUCGGGUUGUAAAGCCCUUUUGUUGGGAAAGAAAUCCAGCUGGUUAAUACCCGGUUGGGAUGACGGUACCCAGAGAAUAAGCACCGGCUAACUUCGUGCCAGCAGCCGCCGUAA